rnacentral:rRNA from 1 species
AACGAACGCUGGCGGCAUGCCUAACACAUGCAAGUCGAACGAGACCAUCGGGUCUAGUGGCGCACGGGUGCGUAACGCGUGGGAACCUGCCCUUAGGUUCGGAAUAACUCCCCGAAAGGGGUGCUAAUACCGGAUAAUGUCUUCGGACCAAAGAUUUAUCGCCUUUGGAUGGGCCCGCGUUGGAUUAGCUAGUUGGUAGGGUAAAAGCCUACCAAGGCGACGAUCCAUAGCUGGUCUGAGAGGAUGAUCAGCCACACUGGGACUGAGACACGGCCCAGACUCCUACGGGAGGCAGCAGUGGGGAAUAUUGGACAAUGGGCGAAAGCCUGAUCCAGCAAUGCCGCGUGAGUGAUGAAGGCCUUAGGGUUGUAAAGCUCUUUUACCCGGGAUGAUAAUGACAGUACCGGGAGAAUAAGCUCCGGCUAACUCCGUG